CCUAGACUGCGCAUCCUGCGAGGCGCCAGCGGCGGCGUGGUUAGAGUGGGCUUUGGAGAAGCCGUGGUGGCUUCCAUGUGGUGGUGGAGGAGGAGGCAGGUCUCAGCGGUCAUUUACCAUGAUGUCCUCCAGGUUCAAGAGUAUGGCUCCAAAUGAUGAAAUUUCAUUCUGCUUUUCUGGCUGAAGACUAUUUGUGUACAUCCACCACAGUUACUUUAUCCCUUCACCUGUGGAUGGGCAGGUUUUUCCACAUGGCUGCACAUGACUAGAUUUCACUCAUUUCUAUGGUUGAAGAAUAUUCUGUUCUGGACGUAUACUGCAGUUUCCUCAUCCCUUCAUCAAUGGAUGAACAGCGUUCCUCACACGGGGUACCACCUGCUGGGUCUGACUUGCAGACCCUGGCCCAGUGAUGGAAGAAAAAUGUACACAGACACGGAUUUUUUGUCUGGGCCUGAAGCUAGAGGACCGGGCUGCUCACAGACAAAGAGGAUAUCAUAAAGAGUCACAGCAGCUACAGCCCCAACAAGCUUGUGCUGCGGGCGUUUAUUUACUACAGAUUUAAUGAUAAAGGCUUUGAAUCACCACAACUUGUGGGACAACCAAGUCCCUACAUGUCUCCUCUGGACACCAUGGGUUAAACCUUCCAAGAUGAAACAACAAUCAUUAAAUCCUCCUCACCAUGACAGGAAGCAAGGAGGAAGGACCCUGAAGACCCUCGAUGUCCCUUCUCAGCAGCAAGCAGCUUCAGAGAAUGACCUCUGUCCCAUCUCCCAAAAGAUUUCUGAGCCCCAACUCCUUGAGGGAGAAAUGUAAGAGUAGACAGUCAAUAUGAGCAGGCAUGAAGGGGGGUAUCCAUGUUGGAAAGAAUGCCCAGGAACACCUUUUAGGAUACCCAGCACUCACUCCAUGGUCGAAUUGUCAGAAUGUUGUUAACUAGAUGAUGAUAAGGAAGGAAAAAGGCAAAAGAGGAAUUCCUGAGAGCUGAGCAGGCACAAUUAGUACAAAAUUCAUGGCUAUACCUUCUGGGGUGGCAGUAAUAAGCAGUGCCACCAUUAGAUAGGAUUCAUAUUGAUCACUGGUUCCAGUGCAUGUGCAUUAAACACAGUAAGGGAGGAUCCCCCAAACUUUGGUGAGAACUGGGUAAAAAAAGAACCAAGACAAUAGAAGAUCACAAUGCAGAAUGUCUUGGGGGUGUUUCUAGCAGGGUCAGCCCACUCCUCUCUUGGAGUGUUCUUGUAUUUCUCCAAUUAAAC